GAGGGUAUAGCUCAGUGGUACAGCGGCUGCUUAGUUAGCAUGCACAAGGUCCUAGGUUCAAGCCCCAGUACCUCCA
rnacentral:tRNA from 1 species